UGGGGAAUAUUGCACAAUGGGCGCAAGCCUGAUGCAGCCAUGCCGCGUGUGUGAAGAAGGCCUCGGGUUGUAAAGCACUUUCAGCGAGGAGGAAGGUGGUGAGCUUAAUACGCUCAUCAAUUGACGUUACUCGCAGAAGAAGCACCGGCUAACUCCGUGCCAGCAGCCGCGGUAAUACGGAGGGUGCAAGCGUUAAUCGGAAUUACUGGGCGUAAAGCGCACGCAGGCGGUUUGUUAAGUCAGAUGUGAAAUCCCCCGGGCUCAACCUGGGAACUGCAUUUGAAACUGGCAAGCUAGAGUCUCGUAGAGGGGGGUAGAAUUCCAGGUGUAGCGGUGAAAUGCGUAGAGAUCUGGAGGAAUACCGGUGGCGAAGGCGGCCCCCCUGGACGAAGACUGACGCUCAGGUGCGAAAAGCGUGGGGAGCAAACAGAUUAGAUACCCUGGUAGUCCACGCUGUAAACGAUGUCGAUUUU
rnacentral:rRNA from 1 species